ensembl:lncRNA
CUCCCUCCUAUCUUUUUCUUCCCCCACUCUUGUCCCGUCUUCUUCCUUCUCUGUUUUUUCUUCCCUUUUCUCUUCUCUCUUCCUUGCUUCUGUGAACUCCUUGCGUUUUCCACUGUCUGUCCCUCCUCUCUUCUCUGUCUUUCCUCUUCCUUCCUCUGCUCCCUCUUUCUCAUCUGUCACAUCUUUCACUCUAAUUCUAGACUCACUUCUCCAUCACCUGUUAACGAUCCACGGAAUUCUGGUGACACGCAUCUCCUGUUCAACAACGGAAAACAGCUUAAACAAGGCAGUAUGGACCCUUCUGGUCCCAGAACUCUGUGCUGUCACCUCUGAUGGCUUAUCAUAGCCAGGCCUGUGGAUAAAUGUGGCCUCAGCCAGGAGAGGAUAAAUGAUAGAUGAUUUGGAAGAAAUAAAUGACAGGGUUGUUAAAAUGUUUUAGGGCAAGGGACAUUCAAAUAAAUGCUACCAGGUGAUUUAUUCUCUAAAAGGUGUUCUGUUCACUGUUGAAACACACCUACAUGUCUGCCAGAAAUGUGACUGUAAAAAAUCUGUGUAUAAAAAAUUUACACAGCAGCAAGCUGGCCCAAGCCUUUCAUUUACUAACACCACCACCUUUAGCUGCAAAGGCAACUUUCUACCUCAUUUCACAUGGCAGAGCCUGGAUGGCCAGAGUACCUAAAUUAGGAAGUGCUCAGUGUCUACACCCUUACCUCUGCUGCACAUGUUGGUCCUUCAAAUCUCCUCUAGCCACCAUCUCAGAAGGUGUGUGGGUGUCCUCUCGAUUGCCUGCCUCACCCUCACUUAGCUCUCCAAUUCUGAUCCUCUUCAUCCUCCUCAAAAUCAAAUGUGAAAAUCUCCUCCCAGAGAAUAUCAUAUACCCACCAAUCACUUUUUACUGUCUACCUUUAACCUUCAACCCAUAGUCAACCUUCAACAUGACUCAGUCAUGGCACCUUAGCCAAGGUGUUCUGAGAACUCAGAGUUUAAUGUAACGUGUAAGUUCUAACACCUUACCCAGAAAAGAGUGGGAAUAAAACUGAGGCAGGGAGGGGAGAAAUGAAGCCUAAGAGCAUCUGUUACUGAGCUGACACCAGCUUUGCAAGGAAGCCCAGGCAAUGGCUCCUAUCAAGACAGAGUGGAUGUUCUGCUGGCAAAAAGACAGAAGAUGCAUAUCUGGACAAAGUGCCCAUUGUCUCUCAUUAGUAGAGUGAAGCCCACAUGUCCCUCCUGGCUUCCUGUCCCCACUCAGUAGCCAAUGGAGAAGAUGGCAUUAACUCCCCACUCAUACUUGCCAUCAGCACUGAGCUUCUGUGGUUUUAUGGAAUUCUGAUGCCCAGAACUAUACCUCUGGGAAAUAUUAAAAACACCUGGAAGUGUGAGGAGAUGGGUGACGUGCUAAGACCAGAGGCCAGCAUGCAGGAGGCACUUGCUAGGUCCAACAGAGAUGUAAAAUGAGAAAAAUGGGUGAGCAUCCUAUGUAGAGGCCAGAGAGACAAGCUGGUGUGGGAUGGCACAUGAACUGUGUCUAAUAAAGCAUACUCAGUGCUACUCAGUUAUAUUCAAGCCCACCAACAAUAAAAGGCUCUGUUACAUGAUGGGGGAGGUCCUUCUGUGUAUAUGAUUCUCUCAUUGGUUGAUAAAGUACUGUUGGCCAAUAGGAAAGCAAGAUAGGUGGGACUAGGUGUCAAGGAGGAUUCUGGGAAAUGUAGUAAAGAUCCAAGCAGGAAGUGACAUAGCAGUCAGACUCAGAAUAUAAACAGGAAAUAGCUCUCUCUUGCUCUUCCUCUUCCUCCUGCUCUCUUCUCUAUGGAGCCACCAUGUGAUCCCUGCAAGAGAAGACACCUGCAGCUGGUGUCCGAUAAGAUGAGUUUUUAUGGUUGAAACUUAAGACUGAGCUAGCAAGUAAGAAAUCCUAGUCAAUUGGCCAGCAGCGUUGUAAACUAGUAUAAGACUCUGUGUGUUAUUCUGGGCGCCCACGUGGUGGCGGGGCUUGGGCGGAUGGAGUAAAGACUUAUCGUUACAGUUAUAUGAUUAAGAUAUCCUCAUAUCUUCUCCAGAGGAGAGCUGCUUGUCCAGUCUCUCGAGAUCCUGCCUGUUUCUUCUUCUGCAACUUAGAAAGGGGUUUAUAGCUACGAACCAGACACCUGGGAGGAUUGUCUAGGAGUGGAAAGAUGUUUUAGGUGACAGUUUCACAGGGUUCAAAUCCUGCUCACCUGGUGUAGAAGCUUGGACAGACACUGCAUCAAUAGAAGUAGGUAGAGAUUGAGCUUCCCAGCAGCCUUACAGCAGACAGGAAUGAGGGCAGAGCAAACAUUGGUCUGUGGCCCCCACUCCAGUGGCCUGUCUCGGCCCCACCUCCCAAAGUAUCCAUUACUACCAAAAAUGCUGCCACCAGCCUGGACGAAACAGCAACACGCGACUGUGUGUAUGCCUGUGGGACUAUUUGAUGUUCAAAAUGUUUCAGAGGUCCAACUUCUUUAACAUGUCCUUUGGAUAUAUUGAAAUACAAAUCCCUUUCCUCACUUACCCAUUUUAAUUGCCCUAUGCAGAAAUCUGACUGAUGGUGUUUCUGCCCUCAAGAGGUCUAUCGUGCCCUUGGGAAGGUCUCCAGUCACUUGCCAAGAUGGUGCCUACAAUAGCCAGCUUAAAUUCCCACAGUACACCAAAGGCCCAAGUGAAGACAAGGAAUCCCCUUCCUUCGAGACAUCCUUCUUUUCUUGGUCAGGAACCCAGGUUCCUGAGAGUCUGCAGAGUCACCUCCCCCAGUCUUUACUGUAACACAUCUUCCCUGAUGACCUUCUGGUGUGGAAAUCCAGCUAGAAAUGAGAGCACUAACAGUUUUUUGCUGGGUGGUGGUGGCGCACACCUUUAAUCCCAGCACUCGGGAGGCAGAGGCAGGCAGAUCUCUGUGAGCUCGAGACCAGCCUGGUCUAUAAGAGCUAUUUCCAGGAUAGCCUCCAAAGCCACAGAGAAACCCUGUCUCAAAAAACCCAAAAAGCAAAAACAAAGAUAAAACAAAGCCACACACCCACCUGGGUUCUUGUGGCUUCUGCAGAAGCAGAUGGUUUCUGGUGGCCUCCCACGUGUGAAACAAACACUUGGUCACCUGUGCCCCUCUCGAACAUCUACCCCAGAUGAUCUUUCCUCAUUUUCCUAGUAUUAUUCUCACUGUCUCCAGUCUCUGGUGCAGUGUACAAACCCAGUGGCUUCUGGCUUGGAGACCGUCUGUAUAUGUCAUGUACACAGGCACGGGGAUAUUAAAUGUGCAGUGAUCCUCUUGUGUCCUCUAUCUGCAGAGGGUGAAGGGGCAAGCAGAACAGGGGGAGAGUGGAGACACGAGGAGACUGCCUUCACGCCCUUAAGUUUAGUGUAAUGCAUACCUUCAUUGUCAGCCAACUGCAUUUAAAAUAACCUAGCAGAGACAUCUUUGAGUUGUCUGGUUGUCAUUUCUACAGAGAUUUACUUUGGCGGGAAGACCCACCCUGUGCAUAGUGGUAUCAUCCAAUGGGCUGGCAUCCUGAAGUGAAUAAAAAGGGAAGAAGGAGAAAGCAAGAAUUCACCUCUCUCUGCUUAGUGACUGUAGAAACAAUAGGAAUAACUACCCCAUUCUCCAGCUGUAUUCUUCCCCCACCAUAACAAACUGUAUCCCUUUUACCUCAAUGGAUCGUUCCUGAAUUGCUUCAGUCAGGGAUCUUGAAACAUCAACAAGAAAAAGUAGCUAAUACAAGUGCCAGUCUCUGUGAUUCGUUUGGGGAUAGAACAUUCCUGCUGACUCACUCUAUUAGCUAAACGAUGGGGGCAGAUACACAAAUUCCCGAAGCGUCCUUCCUAUCCUAAUAGAUUCUACACCACAGGUCACAGAACCAACAAUGGGCCUCUGCCAACAUUAUAGCCUAUCUAUCCAUCUCAGAUAUACUUUCAGGAGACUCGACAGGUGACCCCAGCUUGGCUGCAUGAACCCACAGGACCCUCUGUGAGUCAGCAUUGGCCCAGUUAGACUUGUUCUUCUACCUUCCUCUGUAGACUGUCCCUUUGACCCGAGUGAUUUGGCUUCAACCUCACAUGAGCUCAGAAUUCGUGUUUGUCUGGAGCCUUUUGUACUUACCUUUCACUGCUCUCCAGAAAAUAAGUAUAUGGCCUAUACUGGGGUGUAUAAAAUGAUAUUUACUGUGUAUAUUUAUGGUGCAUCCUUGUGGGAUUUCAUUAACCUUCUGCCUACAGGGGCUGUAAGAAAUGAGAGUCCAUAGGUUAGAAGGCUCCUGCCUCCAGGGUUUUGUUGUAGCAGACUGAAUGAAUGGAUAAGGACAUCUUUAACACAGAGAGAAACAAUGGCGCUCUUCUGCCACACAGGAACAUCAGAAGAACAUUGAAAUGUCACAUUCUCCAACCUGUGUACUCCCAUGUUCAGGGGCCUGCUUUACACCAAUAGAGCAUUCAUCUUGUCUACUGCAUUAUUCUGUAAAGAGAUAUAAGCCUGACUUCCAGAACAGACUUCAUGUGACUGAAUGAGAUGAGAAUCUCCUUUUCAGCAGCAACUCCUUUCCCGAACAGCUUGAAAACCAAAGUCCCCCACAUAGCAUUGGUUCUCACCAUGUAGAUGCUUUGAAACUUGGGUCCCAGGACACACAUCCUUGCUCCUGAUGAGACUAAUCCAAUUGGAAGCAUCAUUCGACCAAGAGACUGUCUAUGGUAGAGGCUUGUGACCAGCUGGGAUAUUUUGGGGGUUUCUCUGUCCAGAAAGAAAGACAGAAGGUGAGAAUUGGGUUGGUACAGAACAACUCAAGCAGGCAUAGGCUAAUAUAUAAUCCUGUCUAUCAGAGUAACCAUCAUCAUAGCAACAUCCUAUAACUUCAAGUCUACUCAGUGGUCAGAGGGUUGGUUGGUUAUUGCUGUUGCUUUCUUUAAACAUGUCCUUGUGGUUGAGCAGGAGAUGAUAGAUAGAUAGAUAGAUAGAUAGAUAGAUAGAUAGAUAGGCCAUGAAUUAGGCAGCAUGUGAUGGGAUGUUCAUAUGGAAAGAGCUGGAGAGAUGAAAGACAUUGGGGAAAAUAGUGGAAUUGAUUUACAAUUUAAUUCCAUUUUAAUCAAAAAACUUAAGAGUACAACAAAGAUCCUUUAAUCAAGAGAGGCUUAGAACUGAAUCAGGACGGAUGGAAAAUGUUGUGAUGAGUGGGGAGGCACACAGAAACCUUAUCUGCAGCCUCUCUAUAGACUGCUGGAAGGAAAGCAACCUGAAGGGCAUGCACACAACUUGGAGGAAAAAUACAUAAUAACUAUGGCAAAACCCAAAGAUGAUGGUGACUUUCAGGCAUGGCUUGCCAAUCUGUGCCAGUUGAGCAUGAAGCUGAAUAUUGAAACUGAGCUCCUGUAGGUCUGGGAAGAUGGAGGAGAUGGAGCCCUUCUUCUACUACUGUUUGGAAAUACACAGUGGUGGGCUGAGUUUACUCUGGAAACAAAGCAACAUUCACCAGGAGUGAACCUGGAGCAGUUUCUGCCCCUUGACAGGGCCAGAGUUUGAACAGCUGGUUCUCUCUGCUGGGCUCCAGAAGGGGGUUGUGCUUCUGUUGUCCAAGCACAAAGUGUGAUUCAUGGACCACACACCAAACCACAAUCAGGGCUGUGAUGCUGCUACUCAAGGGAGCACAGAAUGCAUGUGCCAUGCAUGACUGGAAAGAUCACUUUCCAGUGAACACACCCCUGCCAGCAGAGCAAUCACGGAAGGACAAUAAUAACUCAGAGCUCGGGGUCGUCUGGAUCUUGACUAGACUACACCAGAGUACCACUGAUCUAUUGCAGGGAAGAGGUUCUUGGUUUGGCUACAGAUGGAGAAAACAGGUUCUGAAGCUCCCUCUUGCAUCUCCUCCAAGCUGGGAUAAGCACUGAUUGACUCAGGGACUUCACGUGUUUCAGCCACUUUCACACUUUCCAUCUCAAGCUUGAAUACAGUUGACAGAGGGAGCACUAAUUAGUUAAUCAGAGCUGUUAAAAGAAUUCCAUACAUGUAUAAGACCAAGCAAAUGAAGAAAGGAGGAGGAGGAGGAGGAGGAGGAGGAGGAGGAGGAGGAGGAGGAGAAGAAGAAGAAGAAGAAGAAGAAGAAGAAGAAGAAGAAGAAGAAGAAGAAGAAGAAGAAGCUAUCAAUUUGAGAGUGGGGGUAUAGAAGGGGUGGGUGAGAGGGAGGAGAGGAAAGGAAGAAAGUGAUGUAAUUCUAUUUCAAUUAAAAACAUUGUUUUUUUUUUUAAAGAAUCAGGAUGUUUUAAAAAUAUGAAGACACUAAGCCCACAAUAUUUUUAAAGGAAUAAAUUAGUGAAAAGAGGGCAGGCUCCUUACUCAGAAUCACAGCAUAGCUUGAAACACAGGAGAGUGAUCCACAGGCCGUCAUUGCAGAAUUCACUUCCUCCCCCGGGAAUUUGAUCAGUCUGAUUUUUGCAGACCUGAAAUACUCCAGGUUAUGUGCACUGGGCCUUCCUGGCCACAGCCUAUACCAGAUCUACAUCCUAAAUUCUCAGACUCCAUUGCCUUUGAAUAUUUUCACAACAAAGAGGGACAUCAAGUAGUAUAAACCAAAUAAUGCAGCUUCUGAGACCUCAAAAUGCAGCUUGGAUAAUUUAUGAUUUGUAUGGUAAUUUAUUUAAACAUCCUUCCUGCUAGACAAAUAAAUUGUUUUCAGAGUGGUUUCUAUUACAAAAAAUAAUACGGUGUGCUUAUAUAAGCAUGUAUGUUUAUCUUAAAAAAAUUUUUUUUUAAACUGGGAGCAAAAUAUCCUGGGGAAUAGUGGAAGUUUGAGAGACUGGUCCGGGCAGAUGGCACCACACUUCUACAGGCUUGCAUAGCACUUAAUAUCCCUUCCACACGGAUGCACUUUGCUUGCUCUGAAAACUUAAUUAAUGUUGUUGAUCAAUUAAUUGCAAGCAAGAGGGGAGGCAAAAAGCCUUGAGAAUGUCUGAAAUGCUGUUCUAGUAUGCCACAUUUACAUAUUACUCACACAGCAGGCACAGUUGAGGUGCCUCGAGUAAUAUUUGAGAACACAGUUAUGUACAUUGAAAGAAAAAAAAUUUAAAGGGCUUUAUAGGUCAAGAGGAGGCUAUUAAACAGAUUUCACAGAUUACUAAGUGACAGCGUUAGGAGUAGCAGAUGUGUAUUGGACUUACGUGGAACUUUUUAUUUAAUGUAAUUUAUUAAAUAUUAAAUAUAACAUUGCUGUGGCUCCCUAUCUCCAUGAAAGGCAUAUUAAAUUUGUCUUAGGUGCUCACAAUACUUAUCAGUCUGUCCAUAUCAACUUGGGCCAUAUGAUAGUCUUCUUGGUAGAAAGAAAAAAGAAAUAUAAAUUGUGUUGGGUAUGCACAGUGCACCAAGACACACCACGGGUUACAUCAGUUCAUCUCCCUGCAACAACCAUGCGAGUAUCACAUUACUGUUUCCCAAAAAUACAUAAGAAAUCAGAGAUUUGGAAAUGCCAAACGUCUUUGAUAUUUCACAAGUAGAAAGCAGGAGAUUUGGGUUUUUGAAUUGUAGUCCAAUUGGCUUUGAUUCCCAGAACCCUGACUUCCUUUGAGCUAAAUCCUCCCUGCUGCAUGUCGACUAUGAGAAGGUAAAGUGGGGAAAACAUUUCCUGAAGCUAGGCCUCCACUGAAACUUUCCAGGUUAUCUUAACGGAGAAUAGCGACAUCAACCCAGAAAGCAAUAACAAUCCCUGUUAAGUAGCCAGGCAACAUCCUUGGCUUCCUCCUGUGAAAUCAUCCCCAGUCAAAGCCUUUCACUGGAAUACUGCAGACUGCAAAUGAUGGCCAAAUCCAAACAAACAUUUUGAGUGUACAGCAAUUCGCUCCCAGACCCCAGAAAUCAUUUGUUUGGACCUG